rnacentral:rRNA from 1 species
UACGUAGGGUGCGAGCGUUGUCCGGAAUUACUGGGCGUAAAGGGCUCGUAGGCGGCCAACUAAGUCAGACGUGAAAUCCCUCAGCUUAACUGGGGAACUGCGUCCGAUACUGACAGGCUUGAAUCCGGGAGAGGGAUGCGGAAUUCCACGUGUAGCGGUGAAAUGCGUAGAGAUGUGGAGGAACACCAGUGGCGAAGGCGACUCUUUGGCCUGUAACUGACACUGAGGCACGAAAGCGUGGGGAGCAAACAGG